AUGUUGCUAUCUUGUCAUCAGAAGUCAACCAAUUGGCCGGGCGCGGUGGCUCAAGCCUGUAAUCCCAGCACUUUGGGAGGCCGAGGCGGGUGGAUCACGAGGUCAGGAGUUCAAGACCAGCCUGGCCAACAUGGUGAAACCCCGUCUCUACUAAAAAUACAAAAAUUAGCCGGACGUGGUUGCAUGCGCCUGUAAUCCCAGCUACUCAGGAGGCUGAGGCAGGAGAAUCACUUGAACCUGGGAGGUGAAGGUUGCAGUGAGCCGAGAUCGCACCAUUGCACCCCAUCCUGGGGGACAAGAGUGAGACUUCAUCUCAAAAGAAAGAAGCUGGAAGAAGAUAUAAUGGAGGUAUGGCACUCAGAAAGAGCCAGGUUUCCAUUAAGCAGGAGGCAGAGAAAGUAAACUGCCAAGAAAUUAAAGUUUGUAGGAGGGGUUUUUGCUUAUUUGCCUAUUUUUCAAUGGAUGAAGGAUUAUUCCAGCAGUAAAAGUAACAACAUGUAAUAGAGAGAGGACAGGCCCUGGUCAGAGGUCAGGGUUCCAUUCCUGGCUCUAUCACCUACUAGCCAAGCAACUUUAGCCAAUUACUUUGCCAGAGCUCAGUUUUCCCACUUGUGAAUCAGUAACCUAAUAAUUCAGUUACUUUGGGGAUCAAAUGAUAUAAUGGGUGCAAAAUUGCAUUAUAAACUGUAAAGUAUGGUCCCUACAUAUUGUUAUCAUUAAUGUGUGGUGAGUUCACGCAAGCAUUUGGACCAAUGUUCUUAUUCCUGACUCAGUUUGGAACAGUACUGGGAGGAAUGCAGGCCAAAUACUAACUCCAUUUUAGAGGUGGGACAAAGUACCAUGCUAAAUUGUGCUAUGUGGUAUAAUGGUGGAAUAGAGAAUGCUGUGUGAGCACAGAAAAAGGAACAAUUCAGAGCCUAAGUGAACUUUAUAGUGGAAAUGCCAUGUGAGCUGGCCAUUGAAGAUUAAGUCUGAGAAAGGGAGAGCUAUUCCACUCUCCUUAGUUAGUGGUAGAGAUCUAAGUAGAAGCCAGGGCCAUAAACAUGCAGUUAGGUGCUGCUUCC
rnacentral:lncRNA from 1 species